AGUGAACGCUGGCGGUAGGCCUAACACAUGCAAGUCGAACGGCAGCACAGUAAGAGCUUGCUCUUACGGGUGGCGAGUGGCGGACGGGUGAGGAAUACAUCGGAAUCUACUUUUUCGUGGGGGAUAACGUAGGGAAACUUACGCUAAUACCGCAUACGACCUACGGGUGAAAGCAGGGGAUCUUCGGACCUUGCGCGAGUGAAUGAGCCGAUGUCGGAUUAGCUAGUUGGCGGGGUAAAGGCCCACCAAGGCGACGAUCCGUAGCUGGUCUGAGAGGAUGAUCAGCCACACUGGAACUGAGACACGGUCCAGACUCCUACGGGAGGCAGCAGUGGGGAAUAUUGGACAAUGGGCGCAAGCCUGAUCCAGCGAUACCGCGUGGGUGAAGAAGGCCUUCUGGUUGUAAAGCCCUUUUGUUGGGAAAGAAAAGCAGCAGGUUAAUACCCCGCUGUUCUGACGGUACCCAAAGAAUAAGCACCGGCUAACUUCGUG
rnacentral:rRNA from 1 species